rnacentral:lncRNA from 1 species
UUCGGACAAGCUCAAAAAGAAUUUUCAACCUUGUCGAAUCAUCUUCUCUCUAAUAGAAAAUCCAUCUUGCCUUAAAAACUUGAAAUCUACAUUUCUACCCAGUGCAACUUCUCUAGCAGAUAAGGGGAUCUUACUUGGUGUCACAGAAGGUGAAGCAUGGGACGGCUCUUGUGCAAUCUUUUUUCUUCCUUCCUCUGUCUCCAGGGAUCUCACGGACUUCCUCCUUUGUGGCAUCCUCAUCUUGGGGGCCAUGAUACAAGAGAAAGAUGAAAAAUGAUCUUGAGAGUAGAGAAGGGUUGGAUUGAAUCGAAAUCAAGGAGGAGAGGACGGUCUUGAGCGAUUUCCCACGAUUUUGAUGGCUAGGGCUUGAAAAAUUGGAGAAAACAGAAAAUGAGCCAUGAGAACCAAGGAUUUGAGAAGAACGAGUUUUGGUUUAGAGAGAUUUUGAGAUUUUUGAAAGAGCAAAGAUGUGGAUUCUUAAUUAAGACGAGAAAGAGAGAAGAAAGCUUGAGAUUUGAGGCAUCCCAACUCCCUGUUCUAUUAGAAAAAGAUCGGGUGGGCUCACUUAUAAGUGACC